UUCGGGUCGCCGGCGAGUGGCGAACGGGUGAGUAACGCGUGGAUACCUGUCCUGUGGUGGGGAAUAACGUUUAGAAAUGAACGCUAAUACCGCAUAAGCCCUACGGGGGAAAGAUUUAUCGCCAUAGGAGGGGUCCGCGUCGGAUUAGCUAGUUGGUGGGGUAACGGCCUACCAAGGCGACGAUCCGUAGCUGGUCUGAGAGGAUGAUCAGCCACACUGGGACUGAGACACGGCCCAGACUCCUACGGGAGGCAGCAGUGGGGAAUAUUGCGCAAUGGAGGAAACUCUGACGCAGCGACGCCGCGUGGGUGAAGAAGGCCUUAGGGUUGUAAAGCCCUUUCAGUGGGAAAGAUGAUGACGGUACCCACAGAAGAAGCCCCGGCUAACUCCGUGCCAGCAGCCGCGGUAAUACGGAGGGGGCCAGCGUUGUUCGGAAUUACUGGGCGUAAAGGGCGCGUAGGCGGUUGAUCAAG
rnacentral:rRNA from 1 species